rnacentral:rRNA from 1 species
AUACGGAGGGUGCAAGCGUUAAUCGGAAUUACUGGGCGUAAAGAGUACGUAGGUGGUUUAUUAAGUCAGAUGUGAAAGCCCCGGGCUCAACCUGGGAACUGCAUUUGAAACUAGUAGACUAGAGUAUGGUAGAGGGGGGUAGAAUUUCUAGUGUAGCGGUGAAAUGCGUAGAUAUUAGAAGGAAUACCAGUGGCGAAGGCGGCCCCCUGGACCAAUACUGACACUGAGGUACGAAAGCGUGGGUAGCGAACAGGAUUAGAAACCCCGGUAGUCC